CAUCUUGAUUGAGCCUGUCUUCUCCAUCUUCAAUCUUGCUCACCACCGCCACAACCUACACCUUAGUACCACUUCGCUCUUGUGAUAUCACAUGCUCUGAUACCACUUAUUGGGGAUGUCUGGCCAGGACACCACCACCAUCAUAGGAUCUUUUCAAUAUCAUGCGUUGCAGCAGGAAGAAAGAAGAAACAAAAUAGAGACACAAUCAAAUACGUUGAUCAGCCUAAAGGCUUGCCUCCAUAGGGCAUGAAAGC
rnacentral:lncRNA from 1 species